rnacentral:rRNA from 1 species
GAAUUUUAUAUAUUAGUAUAGAAUAAAUUUUUAUAUAUUAGUAUAUUUUAUUGGGAGGAUAUUUAAAUUAGUAAAACUUUAAUUGAAGCAUUACAUAAAUUAAUGAUUUAUAAUGAAUGAGUAAAAUUUUAAUUAGAAUUAAUUACCUUAGGGAUAACAGCAUGAUAUUUUUUUGUAGAACUUAUAUAAAAAAGUGAUUAU